UAGGGAAUAUUGCACAAUGAGCGAAAGCUUGAUGCAGCAACGCCGCGUGCGCGAUGACGGCCUUCGGGUUGCAAAGCGCUUUUCGGGGAGAUGAGGAAGGACAGUAUCCCCGGAAUAAGUCUCGGCUAACUACGUGCCAGCAGCCGCGGUAACACGUAGGAGGCAAGCGUUAUCCGAAUUUACUGGGCGUAAAGCGCGUGCAGGCGGUUCGGUAAGUUGGAUGUGAAAUCUCCCGGCUCAACUGGGAGAGGACGUUCAAUACUGUCGGACUUGAGGACGAUAGAGGGAGGUGGAAUUCCCGGUGUAGUGGUGAAAUGCGUAGAUAUCGGGAGGAACACCAGUGGCGAAAGCGGCCUCCUGGAUCGUUCCUGACGCUCAGACGCGAAAGCUAGGGGAGCGAACGG
rnacentral:rRNA from 1 species